UACGUAGGUGACCAGCGUUGUCCGGAUUUACUGGGCGUAAAGGGCUCGUAGGCGGCCAACUAAGUCGGACGUGAAAUCCCCAGGCUCAACCUGGGAACUGCGUCCGAUACUGGAUGGCUUGAAUUCGGGAGAGGGAUGCAGAAUUCCAGGUGUAGCGGUGAAAUGCAUAGAUAUCUGGAGGAAUACCGGUGGCGAAGGCGGCAUCCUGGACCGACAUUGACGCUGAGGAGCGAAAGCUAGGGGAGCAAACGGG
rnacentral:rRNA from 1 species